UGACUUGGUAGUUUUACUUCAGCUUGUCAGUCUCAGUCAAGGGCCAUACUGUUUCUGUCGCACUUACUGCACAUUCCAGGGAGCGAGCAACCCUGGGAAACCCUCCCACGCUUCCUGACUGGCCUUGCUCUGUUGCAACAGGACUCCCAGUCAGGGACCUGCAGAGCUUAUGACCACCCCAGGCCAAUUAAGUGUGCUCAGGAGUAGAGCUGCAAGGCUGGCGUCCAGCAGACCUCUGGGUGAGACCUCGUAGGACUCAGUCUUGGCUGGAAUUCUGACACGGACGCGGCUAGUGCGUGUGCGUGCUUGGCGCAAUGCCUGAUGCAAAGCUGAUGUUCACCAGGUCUAACCUUUUCCCAAUUGCCCGCCUGUGAUCUCAGCAUCUGGGGAGCGUAGGCAGAAGAUCGGGAGUGCUGAGUCAUUCUCUAGGACAUAGCAAAUGCAAGACCAGCCUGGCCUAUGUGGGACCCUGCCUCAAAAAAAAGAAAAGGCUUAAUUACAAAAGGAGUUUAAAAUGGAACCAUUCAGGCUUUCCCUGCCUUGUGCCUCCAGGUCUACCAGACAUCACCCAUUGUAUUUCUUUGUGUAACUAGCCUGUCCCCCAAAAGGCAGCUUCUGAGCUUUUCACUCUGCCACCUGCUGGGACAAGGAGUUCAAAGAGAAUGGAGUCAUGGGCGUGUGUGAAUGCGCGUGGCUGGAGAUAAAAGCUCACGUUCAAAUUUCAGAAUCAAUUGUGAAGCUACAUUGUAAUGGCCUGAUUACAGGUCUCUUGAAAUCAGGGACUGAUGCCUAUUGAACUUAAUCGUACACGAGCAUCAAACAAUUAAACUAUGUAAGAGCUUCUGAGGCCUGGGCAAAUUUCCUUGUCCUUUGCAUUUGAUCAGCCUGCACGCAACCGUGUCUAAGAAGUAGUCUAUUCAGCGAGGAGAUGAACGGAGGUACUGCGGGGCAUCGGGCCUGUGGUUUGCCACGGGCACUCCAGGGCAAGCUGAGAACGAAGGGAACCCACACCCACACAUCCUCUCCAUUGGAAACUGUCACCUUCUGAGAUCUCACAGUGCAACAUAGCGACAUCAAGCACCUAGACCUUUCUGGAAGCGUCCGGUCACUCAUACCUGGCAUUCUACUGGCUCUCCAGGAGCCUGUGCUGCACUUGGUGAUGCCCACGAUGUGAUGUGAGUGUCUUUCAACUUUCAACUUCAUUUCGAGCCUUGAUUUUUUUUAAAUACAACUUAAACACUAAAGCGCACAUAGAUAAACGGAAAGACGUUUCCUUUUUGUACAUGUUGGAGUCUCCUGAAUUUUACACUCAAGAUGUAGUGUUGCCAUUUAAAGGCAAAGAGUGAAGUCGAAUUGACACUUUGAGUCACAGGCAGCAGCAUCCCCGGUCUUGGGUGGUAUUUACUGCUCUGGCAGAUUUCAAGCCCCCACCCUCUUCUCUAGGGUCUGUUUAUGAUGCCUUCUCCUUUAUUACAACCUGUCUGAUCAUUCCCCAUCCUAGUCCAAGAAAAACAAAGAGACCGCUUCCUUAGUUCUUUCUUUUUUUUUAUGUUGUAUGUCACUUCUACCAGAGAUACACAGUUACACACACAUGACUUUGUCCCAGACCAGAUGGACUUCUUAACAUUCCUGUUCACUUUUAGGACACCUUUCACACCCCUUUGUCCUUGGAAGGAAAAAGAGAGACUGGUGAAUGCUAUGACUUGUUGCAACCCAACCCUUUGAGCAAAAGUGUGUUGACAAACCCCACAUCAAACACCGUUCGGCAUGGCUUCACUUGCUCCGGGAGACCGUGUUUGGAGAAUGUCUGAUAAGCCUCACCAAGAAGCCAUCACACGCCUCGGGAUCUCGCAGAAUUAUCUCAGCCUACAGAGAUCUCAUCCUGCACUUGCAGUGAGGCGCGUCGAUAAAGUCAGACCCCAGUGUGGGCUUUGAUUUGGGGCCCCGGCUGAUGACAGCUGAACUGUUGAUUUAAUACAUUUUGUGCAGAUAAAGGUGAGGGUUGGCAACCACACAGCUGUCUUCACAGGUGAGGAGACAAAGAUCUCCGACAUGCUUAUUUCUCACAGCCCAGGUCCCUGACCUGGGCCUGGAAACACAUCAAAGGCCACACCUUCCCUUCUCAGGCACUCCCCCAGCCCUUGCUCCUCUCCUGAUGGUAGCUCCUCCUGCACCUCUCACCAGUCAAACAAUGAGGCUAUUAUGCUCCCUGGAGAAGAGAACCAGGGUAAUUACCUUCCCGGCCAGGUGCCAGGAGUAAGUUUCCUUGUGUGCAAUUAUUGUGUGGUAAAACGGCCGAGGCCAUGUUUUUAAAAUUUGUUUUCUUUUCUUUGUUUUCUUUUCAGUCACUGAAGACCAGGUUGCAAGACACUGGCCCCAAGCCCCGGCAUCAACCACAGGCUCACAGCCUUCUUUAGAACCUGGGUUUGGUUGUCUUUCACUUUCUCCCAGCGUGGAGUCUUAUCAUAUUAUAAUUACAGCCCCACAUGAGUGUUGAUAAACAAGGCCAGCUCAGCAACAGUGCAGAGCGAGGAGUAAUCCCCAAGUUUCUACCUAAGCAGCCAAACCCAUGUUGUUUUCAACAGUGACGGGCUUGGGUGGAGUGACAGAGAUCAGAAAGACCUCUGAUUGGCACAGAUGGAGCAAGGACAGUGUCAUUAGGAGGGAAAUGCGGACAGGGGUGAGGCCUUUGAUCUUCUGAUUAUCGUAUCUACAAAUCUCCCCAUAGGCCUUCUCCAUCGGCCAAAACAGACUUAAGAAACAAAGAGUACCCAGUCCUGGUUGUAGGGAUGGGUGCGCGUUGUGCAACUCUUACUUGUUUGGGGCUAUCCCCCCAAUGCUUUUAUUCCUACUUGACACUAAUAAUUAUGACCAAGAAUUAAAAACUACCUUAUACAUGCUAGACUUAAACACACAUAUUAUCUGCUACUCUGACAAGAAGGUAUUGUUAAUUCUGUUUGAUGAGAGAUCUUGAAGACUAGCAAGAUUGAUACUGCAAUAUUGAUUAUUGAAGCUAAGUGUGGCAUAAGAGACAGAGAGAGGUCCGUUUCAUUCCAAAUUUUAAAUUCUCAGCCACUCUACUACACCAAGAUUCCCUCCCCAUGCAAGACAAUAGGAAGCAAUAGUGUGAGCAUCAGUUAGAGCCCUGGGUGAUAGCAUAUCUUCACUGAGGGCCUCUGUCACUUAGCUCACGAACUGAACAGCAGGAACGGCCUGAUUUGUUGGGACCUCUCCAGGCCUAGAAGGUUCGAAAUGGCUGUCAAAGUGACCAUAGGAUGUCCAGAUAGACAUCAUUUCAGGAUGAUCUGUAAGGGGCUUGCAGGAUGAGACUAGCUUUGGGAUUGUCACACACUAUAAGCCAGCCUUCCCUCCUUAAGAUGAGCAGACACCACCCUGUGGAGGGGCUCAGUAAAACAUCACCCAUCCUUUCUCAUCCCGUCCUAUUCCAUCCCGUUCUGUCCCUUCCCAUAGUAUCCUACCCACUCCAAUUUUCUAUCCUUACAUCUUAUGCCAUCAGCUGUCACACGGUUCUAAAUGCGGACUGAAUUAAACACAGGUUUGCCUUUGGCCUCCAACGUUCAGAUGGAAAGUUACUAGGGGACUUCAUGGGUCGUUCCUCCUAAUAAGACUUCUUUCAGAUAAA